ensembl:antisense Gm16070 predicted gene 16070
GUGAGUGGAGGACGGCAAGGUCUGGACCCUGGGGGAAGAGAGCCUCUAGCUUCUCCCACCUCUCUCAGAUCAAACACCCUCCCCCUAAGAUUCUCUCUGAUGGGAUGCUGAAAUUACUUACAGUCUGGUUGCAAAGGAGCUAGCCCCAGAACUUGAGUUUCUAGAAGGAAGAAGUCUUUCUUUGGCUACUAAAGCUUAAUGAGGACCAGAUGGAGAAAGACUUUCAGAAGACUAUUGAAGUGGAUAUUGCCUGACAGUUGAGACAUGUCAGGAAACAUGCGGUGUUGGCUUCUGAAAAAGGAUCACCAGCAUUUGGCAUUUGUGAAAAUAAGAAGAGUCCUUUAAACAAUAUAUCAUUGAUAGACUGUCAGAAUCUCAAAAUUCAGUCCCAGGACAGAUACCUGUUUUGCAUCCUAGAGUAGGAAUUUACUAAUUGUAAACUCAAAAAGUAUUGCCCUACUGAGUGUGGUGCAGUUUGUACAAGCACACUUUGUUUUGAAGUGGAUUAUCUAAUUCCCCUGCCUUUGCAUCGGCUCCUUUGAGAGUCCUCACCUCAAAUUUCUGUCUCUAUAUCUGGAAUGUCUCAAAGACCAAAUCAGAUUGUUCCAACCAUUACCUGUCUCUUUCCAUUAUCCAGCUGCUCUUCUGUAGUCAGACCCCAAAGUCCCUGGUGACAUGAAUCUUUGUUUCCUAGAAUAGCAAAGAAUGGGAAGCAGACAUAUCAGAAAGAGAGCCACACUGAACAUUCUCAGGUAUAGAGUCACAAGGUUUUUCUUUAGCGUUGUACACACAGAAUAGAUGCAAAUUUGUAGUUUGGGAAUAUUAAUUCAUAAUUAGUGUCCCUAGCAUUCAGGAAAUAGGGCUUUUACAUCUAAAACAGUCCAGUUUCUGAUAAAGGACAGGUGAUAUAGUAAUAGUAUAGUAUAGUAAAGAUGGAGAUCAUGUCUACAUGGAACACUUUAUGUGUCAUUGAAAAAUCAUAGAGAGAAUUGAGUUAAAUCUGUUAAAAGUGAUUGCAUAUUUUUGAAAUAUUUGAAGAGGAACUUAAAUAAAGAUGAUAAGAAAUUUGGUAAGGCAAUUAUCACAUUUAAUAUAAGAAUGGCCUAAAUAUUCAUCAUAUUAAGCAUAAGCCUUCAAUAAUCUUGCAUUUCCAAUUUACUAUAUAAGCUUUUCUUUGAUACAGUUCAUGUUUUUAUUUAUUAUUGCAACGUCUAUUUGUCAACAGAAAGGCACAACUUAUCCACAUCAAAUGAAUGUCAAAAUGGCACUUUGGUUUAUGACUGAAGCAGUCCCUUGUAAAGCCAUGGCAGGUUGUGGCAUUUCUACUCUAUUGUGGCAGAUACUGCUGUGUACUUGGCCAACACAGAAUCUCCCACAUCUUUGUUCCAUCUGAAACUGUAGCGUCUGGUUUUACAUGGGGUCCCCACCUUCUCAUCAGCAGCAACCUUAGGAAGUGACUGGUGCUUAUUCUAAGCAACGUUGAAAAUAGAUCCCUGUAGCAGUGACUAGUGUAGUAAGAGACAGUUCAAGCAAUGCUUGCUCAUCAUUCAAGGAAGGCAGGGCUGAAUUUAGAGCUGAGGACAGGGGUUGCAGUGGUUUUCUUUUGUGAUCAAAAGAAAAAUUAUCUUUAGGUGCUAAUUUGUGAGAUUUGAAAAGUACAGUUGUUAUUGAGCAAAGAGAAGGGACAGACUAAAGAAUGACCUCUUUACCUGUUGAACAAAAGAAUAAAUAGUGUCUGUUCCUCCCUGUUCCUGACCAAUCACUCCAUUUUCUUGUUAUGGGAGAUAACAAAUGGAUGUUUAAGCCACACUGGCUUGGCUUGAGUAUUAGCUACUUGUAGCCUAAAGCACUGGAAUUGACAUGUUUCUGCAAAGAUGAUUUUCUUUUGCUAGUAUUCUAUUCCGCAUGCUGUAAUUAUCCAUGUAUGUGGAAAGUAAGGAACUACCUUAAAAUGUAUGCUAACCUACCUCUGAAUUUCCAAGUGAGUACAUGUUGUAGAGGUGACAGUUACUCCAUACUGCCAUAACCUCACAUCUUCUCUCUAUAACCUCUAUCAAGACAUCUUUACAUCUCUUCUCCUGGAGAUGUGUAAUGCUACAUUUCCUGUGUUUAGUACUUUAAUAAAUAGAACUUGUGUCAAUGUAUU